CAGAGAGCUAAUGCUGGCAGCUGUUGGGAUGUCCUCUUCCAGGAAUGGUGAUGAGUUUCCCUGGAUCCAGCCCUGGCUUGGCUGAGAUGAUGAAGGUUUAAGAAGCAGCAUCAUCAGCGAACUGUGUUUUGAAGAUUUGAGGGAAGGGCUGACCUCAGGAUUUUAUACUAGGAAGGCCCUAUCUCAAGUGGCUCUGGUCCAUGCAAACAGAUGGAAACGGGUGUGGGGAAGCACAGGCCUCCUACUCAUGUUAAGAGAGCUGCUCAGAGGCAGGAAUCCAGAACCAGGAAUGUCCCCAGUGGCUGCCCAAGGUACAAGUGGCAGGCAGCGGGGAGAAUGGCAUGUGAAGUCAUUUGUAACCUGGCCCCAGCUUGGUUUCCAAGUCUCAGAGGAGAUUAUGGAUAUGGUAGUGCCUGGCUCAGUGCUUAAAAUCCAUUCUCCUGCUAUUUCCCUCACCUACACUCAGCCCCACAAGCCGAGAUGUUUGCUGGACAUUUCAGGCACUGCCACCCAGUUCUGUCUACCUUACCUGCUAACACCUGUUGACCAUCCUUCAUGUGAAGGCUUCCCCAAAUACUUCCCAAUCAAAACACUAAAAGGCAGACCUGAAAUUAAUAAAAAUGUUAAUUAAAUCUGUACAACAGAAA
ensembl:lncRNA LINC02028 long intergenic non-protein coding RNA 2028